UGGGGAAUAUUGCACAAUGGGCGCAAGCCUGAUGCAGCAACGCCGCGUGAAGGAAGAAGGCCUUCGGGUCGUAAACUUCUGUCCAAAGGGAAGAACUCUGACGGUACCUUUGGAGGAAGCCCCGGCUAACUACGUGCCAGCAGCCGCGGUAAUACGUAGGGGGCAAGCGUUAUCCGGAAUUACUGGGCGUAAAGAGUACGUAGGUGGCCCUGUAAGCGUAGGGUUUAAGGCGACGGCCCAACCGUCGUUCGCCCUGUGAACUGCAGAGCUUGAGUGCUGGAGGGGAAGGCGGAAUUCCUAGUGUAGCGGUGAAAUGCGUAGAUAUUAGGAGGAACACCAGUGGCGAAGGCGGCCUUCUGGACAGUAACUGACACUGAGGUACGAAAGCGUGGGUAGCAAACAGG
rnacentral:rRNA from 2 species